GAGUGGAAGGAUGCAGACCAAGUGAGGUCAACAAUAGCCGAAGAAGCAGCAGAUGUCUUUCCCAUGCUGAUGGAUUUGAGCAUUCAACAUUGCCCCCAACUGACCACUCUCCCGUGCUCAUGCAAAAUUCUAGACGUGCAAUAUUGCCGCAAUCUAACAAGUAUAAAAACGGGUUACGGCACUGCUUCUGUUGAGAAGUUGAAGAUUGGCUGUUGCAACAAUCUUAGGGAGCUGCCAGAAGAUGUGUUUGGAUCGAGUUUGCAGCGGCUGAGCAUCGAAAGUUGCCCAAGAUUAAUUAGUCUGGGAGUAAAUGGGAAGAAAUGCCCACUACCAUGUCUUGAACGAUUGAGUAUUCAAUAUUGCUACGGGUUGACCACUAUAUCCGACAAAAUGUUCGAGUCAUGCCAGUCUCUGAGGUCCCUGUCGGUGGAGUGUUGCCCCAAUCUGGUGUCAUUUUCGCUUAAUUUGCAGGAGACGCCUUCUCUCGAGGAUUUCGCCCUGCUCAACUGUCCCAAAUUGAUCCCUCACAGGUUCAAUGGAUUUGCUUUUGCCACCAGCUUAAGAAAUUUGUGGAUCGGUCCCUUCUCCUCAGAUGACUCCUCAAUCGAUGGUUUUGACUGGUCUGGUUUAAGAUCUGCAUCAACACUGUGUAAGGUUCACUUAGAAGGGUUAUGUCACUCGGAUUCCCUGCCACACCAGCUUCAAUACUUGACUACCCUCACUUCACUAAACCUGAAGAACUUUGGACGAAUAGAAGUGCUACCUGAUUGGAUUGGAAACCUUGUGUCCCUUGAAACCCUACAGCUAUCGAAUUGCGAAAAGCUUCGAUGUUUACCGUCUGAGGCUGCCAUGAGACGACUCACAAAGUUAACAAGUGUUGAAGUUCGUCGGUGUCCUCUAUUAAGACAACGAUACACUCCCCAAAGAGGCAUCUACUUGGAGGAGUAGAUUUCAAGUUAUUUUGUAAGAUUUUCCUAUCUAAAGUUCACACUUAUAUGUAUACAAAUAUUUUGACAUAAAUUUGCUCUUCAGUCUCUUAUACUCUGUUUUCUCCGUCUCUUCUAUGAAAUUUCACUAGUCUUGUAAAGUUAAUCUCUGUAAUCCUCUUCUUUUUGGGCAGACCUCGGUUUCUCUUCAAAGAUUAGUUUUAACAGAUCCCGGUUUUGAACAAAUUAGAAGAGACCAAAAUUCUGGAUUUCCUCUGCCUCUCUGAAUCACUGAAAGAUUUUGAACAUCUUAAAAACUCCUUACACUUCAAAUUGUUACAUUCUAUUUGGCCAAGGACGAAAUUAUUAGCAAUGGUGAAUACACAAUUAGCCUCUUUGUUUGAAUGUGUUGGAAAAUGUUUCAUUUGAUUUGUAAUGCUACAUGUACGUGGACCCAUUCUUCAUUUUUCUGUCACCUGAUAUUGCCGGUUUGAACGGACAACAUUAAAGCUAAUCAAGAAACAUUUGCGAAGAAAAUUCAAGAAACAAUUUUCUGUUCAAGAUACAAUAAUUUUGGAUAGUUGUUUGUCAUGUUUCACAAGUUCCAGAAGUUUAUACAUCACAAUUACCAUGCAGGCCAGCAGCGAGAGCGAACAAGAAGAAGUCGAUGACAAUGAACAAGCAGGCAGAGAUGGUGAACAAAAAAGCAUUGAUAGUGUGCUCAAACAUCAGCUUCAUGGUGUUUCCCAUCGUUGCUGAAGAAGAAGAAGAGCUUAGGAGGUUUGUUGUGUAGAAAAGUGAUAAUGGAGCAUUUCUCUCCCCAAGAACUCUUUUAUUACCUCCAUCCAAUUUACUAAGAGUACAAGGAAUUGGUGCAACUUUGCAUUCUAGUAUGCUUGAGUCAUGUAAUUGGCCUAAGAACAGGGCAUUUUCCUGUACUUUUAUGUGUUUGUGAACUUUUACCCUAUGCCAACAGCUUAUCUUUUGCUCUUUAAGAUUUUUUUAUUUACUUGGUGCUAAACAUGUCUUUUGAUUGUGAAAGAAUCUGGUCUUUUCCGAUUUUCUUGCACUAGUUACUAGACCAUAACUUUUCUUUGCUUCCAUUGUUCAUUAUAAUCGGAGCCAUACUGAAAUGUACCAUUGUGAUGCUUUCUAGAGUCUUAGGAGGCAUAGCUUAUGUUAUUGGACAAAGGACACCAUCGUUUACACACCAAUUGUCACACGAUAUUGCAUAAUAGGAGAAACUUCUUGAAUUCUGGUGGGCUUUGAUUGGUUUAAGUAGGAUGAUGUUUCUUUUAUGUGUUGUACUGACCCCUUCUGUAUAGUUUACAUAGAUCUAAUUGGGCUGCUGCUUCUGAUAUGAUCCCAGAAGUACAUACGUUUAGUUUUUUAAGCUGCAAUAUCGGUUUUUCUCAAUGCACUGCCAUCACUAGUUUGUUAUAUUGGUUUCUGGUUGGUAGAUGAAUUUUUAUUGAGUUGAAGUUUCAUUUCUUAGCAUUUAUUAAUUCUAAUUUGAAUUUGCUUUUAAAUAUUUAGGCCAUGUUCUCGCUUAAAGGUAGGGAAAAUACAUUAGAGAAGAUUUGAGGAGGCUAUUGAUUACGUAAAUGAGCAGCUUCCUUCAGAUGAUUCCUCUGUUCCAGCUGUAAGACUGUUUGUUGCCAUAAAUUCAACUCUCUAGUUCUGGCUUUUCUGAAUCAGCCGAACUGAACUCUAGCUUUUUGAUUGUUUUGCAGGCUUCCGAUGCUAACCUGAAAAAUGCAACGGACAGGAAAGAGGCACAAAUCCCUCCGGAGCUUAUAACUCGAUGUGUAGCUAUUCUGCUUGACCACUCUCCCGUGCUCAUGCAAAAUUCUAGACGUGCAAUAUUGCCGCAAUCUAACAAGUAUAAAAACGGGUUACGGCACUGCUUCUGUUGAAAAGUUGAAGAUUGGCUGUUGCAACAAUCUUAGGGAGCUGCCAGAAGAUGUGUUUGGAUCGAGUUU
rnacentral:lncRNA from 1 species